rnacentral:rRNA from 1 species
UCGAACGCGAAAGUCCCGCAAGGGAUAAGUAGAGUGGCAAACGGGUGAGUAACACGUGGGUGACCUGCCUUCGAGUGGGGGAUAACGUCCCGAAAGGGACGCUAAUACCGCAUAACAUCCUGCCUUUGAAGAGGUGGAGAUCAAAGCUGGGGAUCGCAAGACCUAGCGCUGGAAGAGGGGCCCGCGUCUGAUUAGCUAGUUGGUGGGGUAAUGGCUCACCAAGGCAACGAUCAGUAUCCGGCCUGAGAGGGCGGACGGACACACUGGGACUGAGACACGGCCCAGACUCCUACGGGAGGCAGCAGUGGGGAAUUGUUCGCAAUGGGCGCAAGCCUGACGACGCAACGCCGCGUGGAGGAUGAAGACCUUCAGGUCGUAAACUCCUUUCGAUCGAGACGAACGGCUCCCGGACGAAUAAUUCGGGAGAGUGACGGUACCGAGAGAAGAAGCCCCGGCUAACUCCGUGCCAGCAGCCGCGGUAAUNACGGGGGGGGCAAGCGUUGUUCGGAAUUACUGGGCGUAAAGGGCUCGUAGGCUGCCAACUAAGUCAGACGUGAAAUCCCUCGGCUUAACCGGGGAACUGCGUCUGAUACUGGAUGGCUUGAGAUCGGGAGAGGGAUGCGGAAUUCCAGGUGUAGCGGUGAAAUGCGUAGAUAUCUGGAGGAACACCGGUGGCGAAGGCGGCAUCCUGGACCGACACUGACGCUGAGGAGCGAAAGCCAGGGGAGCAAACGGGAAUAGAUACCCCGGUAGUCCUGGCCCUAAAC